ncrna:Lactobacillus vaginalis DSM 5837 = ATCC 49540 Enterococcus sRNA 68 (Lacto-3 RNA)
UGCGAUGAGUCGAGAGGUCUGGUAGCAACCCAAAUGGCUACCAUAAGACAUUUCGAACGUGGGGCACAUAACUCACCGGAUUGUGAGGUGCCUGGAAGUAGUCGGAGUGGACACCGA